AUUGAACGCUGGCGGCAUGCUUUACACAUGCAAGUCGAACGGCAGCGCGGGCUUCGGCCUGGCGGCGAGUGGCGCACGGGUGAGUAAUACAUCGGAACGUGCUCAGUAGUGGGGGAUAGCUCGGCGAAAGCCGGAUUAAUACCGCAUACGACCUGCGGGUGAAAGCGGGGGAUCUUCGGACCUCGCGCUAUUGGAGCGGCCGAUGGCAGAUUAGCUAGUUGGUGGGGUAAAGGCCUACCAAGGCGACGAUCUGUAGCUGGUCUGAGAGGACGACCGGCCACACUGGGACUGAGACACGGCCCAGACUCCUACGGGAGGCAGCAGUGGGGAAUUUUGGACAAUGGGCGAAAGCCUGAUCCAGCAAUGCCGCGUGUGUGAUGAAGGCCUUCGGGUUGUAAAGCACUUUUGGCGGGAACGAAAAGGACUGUGCCAAUACCACGGUUCGAUGACGGUACCCGCAGAAUAAGCACCGGCUAACUACGUG
rnacentral:rRNA from 1 species